rnacentral:rRNA from 1 species
GGCGGUGGUUUAACUAAUCAGAGGAAUUUGCCCUAUAAUCGAUAAUCCCCGCUAUAUUUAACUUAAGUAAGAAGCCAGCCUGUAUNCCGCCGUCAGCAGGAAAUUUUUAGAGGAUAUUUCCGGAAGUCCAUGAAGGAGAAUGUCAGGUCAAGGUGCAGCUUAUGCUUAAGAAGAGGUGAAUUACAAUAAAAUAAUUUAAGACGAAAUAUUUAAGGAAGGUUAAAUAAGAAGGUGGAUU